GACGAACCGUGCGAACGUUGUUCGGAAUUACUGGGCGUAAAGGGCUCGUAGGCGGCCAACUAAGUCAGACGUGAAAUCCCUCAGCUUAACUGGGGAACUGCGUCUGAUACUGGAUGGCUUGGAUUCGGGAGAGGAAUGCGGAAUUCCAGGUGUAGCGGUGAAAUGCGCAGAUAUCAGGAGGAACACCGAUGGCGAAGGCAGGUCUCUGGGCCACUACUGACGCUGAGAAGCGAAAGCAUGGGGAGCGAACAGG
rnacentral:rRNA from 1 species